AGCAGUGAGAAUAGAGACUAAUGCUGGGUUUCUUCUUUCUAAGAAGCGCCCCACCCCCAGGGCAAUUUGAAUAGUUUUGAAAUCAGGGUGUGUAUGUGUGUGUUUUUUUUCAAGCCCGGAGUGUUAGAGUGAUUUUCUGAGGUGCCUUUUUGGCUUUUUGGGCAUACUGCAUGGGCUGUUCACGCCUUGGCAGCUUAGAGCUAUGAGACCUAGCCACAGUCACAUGUACCUUUUGGGCACCUAGCAAGGUGCCAGGCCCCCUUCUAAGUAAUUAGUUAGUUAGUUAACUCGUGUCCACACCGCCGUGGGAAUGUGGAGGUCCAGCUCAGCUUUCCGGACUUGGUUCUCUCCUUUCACCGUGUGGAACCCAGAGAUCCAACUCAGGCUCAGCUCUGCCAAGUGCCAGGAAAUAAAGACCUCACCUGCCAAGAGGAGCCGGGAGGGGCGCCGAGGGCUCUGCCAGCAGCCUGGAGCUGUCAGGCUGGCGGUAAUUAAUUAAUCAAUCCAUCGAGGAGGCUCUCAGAGCCACAACAGCGUCUCCUGAACGUGGCACAGUGGGCAGGGACGGCAGCUGCUCCAAGGAGGUUGAGGUGUGUGUGGCGGGUCACACAUAAGUCAUAGUGUGCACCUGAAGAUCAGAGGACCAUCCGUAGGCGUUAGACCCCAUCCAAGCCCUCAGGGCCCUAGCCAGAUAAGUCAUCUCUGCAAUCUAGGAGUAUUCUUGAAGGCCAUUCUCACCCUAGGAGGGCUGGUGACAACUGGUGUGGAAGGGACUGAGAAUCAAAUACAUACACCCACUAGACUCAGCCAGCAAGGAUCUCUAAUUUUCCCUCAGCUGGGUCUCCUCAAUGCCCGUGAUCACUCUAGCUCCUCCAGGUGAGGUGGUUUCUCAUAUUCCCUACGUACAGCAAGAUGCUGCUUAACCUCCACCAAUUAUUUGUGCAAAUGGGUACAUCAGAUUCCAGGAGGCAGCUGGGAAGGGGGUGAGUUCCCCUCCUCGGAAAACGGAAUACAGAGUCAGCUGUCACGGCCUGUCCUCACACCGCCAUGUUUUUCUUAAGAAGUGAUGGGGAAGAUGGAUGAUCCAGACAUGAUACACUGAGGGCAGCCUUAAUGCCCGGGUGAGGCAGGAUGGCGGGGAAGCCUGUCACAGUGUUGUUGAGGACUCUGAAGUCGAUUAUGAGCAACCCGAAGUGGCCAGAGAGGAGCACUCAAGCUGGUGGCAUGGUUCUGUGGGCAAAGCUGCUUGCUGCUAAGCUAGAAGACCAGUACCAACAUGGUGGAAGGAGAGAGCAGACUCUCACACGCCUGCUAGGGUACCGGCACAUGGCCAUACAAGCAUGUUCAAACACAAAUAAAUGUAAUUGUAACUUUAAAA